rnacentral:lncRNA from 1 species
NNNNNNUCCCCGCCCUCGCCCUCUUCCCUUUCUUUCCCCGCGCCUUUGUCUCCGCCUCCCAACCCCCUUUGUGUCUCUGGGAAGACUCAGCCUCAGACAGCAGCGACCCCACCCGGCCGGCUGUCGGGGACCCCACAGACCCCGAGACGCACGUCUGGGGCAGAAGUUAGUGGCAGUGAGGACGCCACCCUCACACUUGGCAUCUUUCCUGCUCCCUUUUCCUUCCCCCAGCGCUCCCCCUUCCUCUUCAUCUCCUUCUCCAAGAAGGAGGACCUGCUGCUGACAUUAUCACGUUGGCCUAAAGUAGUUCUCUCCCCUUUCUGAAUGCGUAUUUGUGGUCACUUUAAUGAUUACAAAACCAAAACCUGUCCACCCGCUCAGGCUGCUAAGAAGAGGCUCUUCAGCAGGUGCGGCAGCACUGGCUCCAUGACUGGAGCCCAACACGGAGCUUGAACUUACUACCCGGAGAUCAAGACUUGAGCUGAGAUCAAGAGUUGGAUGCUUAACUGACUGAGCCACCCAGCUGUGCUCUCAGGAGCAGGUGGCCUUCCAGGAGACUCCAGCAGGGCAAAAGAGACAGACAUGGAGGCAGCUGGCUGGCUUGGACUGCUUUGUCCUUGGAAAGACCCACAGAAUUUUCCCCACACUCCAUAGGCUGGAACUAGUCACAUGGCCCCACAACAGCGAAGGAGACUGGGAUACAGAGUGGAGCAUGUGGAUAUUUGCCCACUGCGCCUGAGAGGGGAGUCUCCCGGGGACGGUCACAGAGGCUGCCACCACCAGUGGGCUCAGAAGCAGAGAACGGCAAGGUCCGGCUGGACCAUCUGGCCAAGAACAUUGACCUCUCAGCAGUGACCUUCGGGGACUGAAGACGGUGAGUCAGCUGCUCCCUGUCUCUCCUGUCCUGGAGAGGUGAGGACUCAGUAAACAAGUGACUUGCAUUAUAGGAAAAUAUUUUCUGGCAUGCCUGAGAUUGUGGAGGCAUUGGAAGACCUACUCCUCACAGAAAUGUGGUAAAGGACGGCUCAGGAAACAAAUAGGGAGAGGAUAAGGAGAGGAGCAGGUUAGGAGCUCGGGCAGGAGCCCCCUCUACUGACAUGUUGCCCUCACUGAAGGGUGGUGAGAACCUCCUGGUUCUAGUCCAGGCUGCUGUUUCAUGGAAGGCAAAGACCACUCAAAGUCUUUGGUGAGUGGCAACAAAUUUGGGGGAAUAAAUAGCCCAGCUGGGG